rnacentral:rRNA from 1 species
CCAAUAGCGUAUAUUAAAGUUGUUGCAGUUAAAAAGCUCGUAGUUGAACCUUAGGCCCGUGCGGGCGGUCCGUCCUCUGGGCGAGCACUGCCUCGUCGCGGGUCUCACCUUCUGGCGAGCGUGGAUGCCAUUCACUUGGUGUCCGCGGGAACCAGGACCUUUACCUUGAAAAAAUUAGAGUGCUCAAAGCGGGCUCUUACGCUUGAAUACAUUAGCAUGGAAUAAUGAAAUAGGACGACGGUUCUAUUUUGUUGGUUUCCGGGACGGUCGUAAUGAUUAAUAGGGAUAGUUGGGGGCAUUCGUAUUCAAUUGUCAGAGGUGAAAUUCUUGGAUUUAUUGAAGACGGACUACUGCGAAAGCAUUUGCCAAGGAUGUUUUCAUUAAUCAAGAACGAAAGUUGGGGGAUCGAAGACGAUCAGAUACCGUCGUAGUCUCAACCAUAAACUAUGCCGACUGGGAAUCGGGCGAUGUUAUUUUUCGUGACUCGCUCGGCGCCCCGAG